rnacentral:rRNA from 1 species
GACGGAGGGGGCGAGUGUUAUUCGUUUUGUCUGGGUGUAAAGGGUAUGUAGGUGGUUCCUAGUUUUUUGACGUAAAGGGUGGAGUGUUCCUACACCGUCAUGUCUUUGAGAAAGGGAACUUGAGUUGAAAGAGGUCUAGGCAAAUCUUUAAGUAAGGGUAAAAUCUUGAGAGUUAAGGAUGAACACCAAUCGGCGGAGGCACUUUCCGGUUCAACUGACGCUGAGGUACGGAAGCUUAGGUAGCAAACGGG